rnacentral:rRNA from 1 species
UACAGAGGGGGCAAGCGUUGUUCGGAAUUACUGGGCGUAAAGGGCGCGUAGGCGGCCUUCUAAGUCGAACGUGAAAUCCCCGGGCUCAACCCGGGAACUGCGUCCGAUACUGGAAGGCUUGAAUCCGGGAGAGGGAUGCGGAAUUCCUGGUGUAGCGGUGAAAUGCGCAGAUAUCAGGAAGAACACCCGUGGCGAAAGCGGCUCUCUGGAACGGUACUGACGCUGAGACGCGAAAGCGUGGGGAGCGAACAGG